GGCUUUCUCUUAAAAAUAAAACAAUACACUAAGUAUUCUAUUAUAUUAUAAUUUAAACAAUUUAAAGGGGUGUCAACCGAAUUUUCAUAAAUCUAAUUGUAUUAUCUGAUUAUUCACAAUAUUAAUUGUUUAUGGAAAAACCUAAAUAAUGAUUUUGAAAUAUGUAUUUUUUGACAUGCAUAACUAUCUACGUAUAGUUAUAAAAUUUAUAAUAACAGCCAUUUAAAUUUAAAAGAAUAAUAUAAACAAAUGUAUUUGUUUUUUUUGGCAGAUUAUCAAGUUUUCCAAAAUGUUCAUACAGUCCUGCAGUUAACUGAUAUAAGUUAUAUUCUUGAUAAUGCACUGAAAAGCAGUCUUUUUGUCAAAAUUGAAAUGCAUGACGUUUUGAAGAACCACCUUAAUCUAAUUAUAGGUAUAAGCAAUGACCAUUAAACAAAACAAUUUAUGAAAUAUCUAUUAUUUAGCUUAUAUUUUAUUAGAGUUUUGACUAAAAAUUCAGCCACAAUAUCUAGUCCAUAGUUUGUAAGCCGUGUGCCUGUACAAAAUUAAGAAACUUUACCUAAUUAUGUAUUUGUGAAAACUUUAUAUACGUGUAAAUCAAAUGUAAUCAAUUUACAAGCUUAUUAAAAAAAAUUCUUCCGAUUAAA